GGGUCGUUCCCAGCAGCCAGGAGGGCUGUACAGGCACAGGCAGGAGGCGAAGCGUCAGGCCUUGGGAAACUGAUGGGCGCCGCCAAAGACGGACAAGGUGGGCAAACCUCACAGCAAUUCACACCCUUGGAGAACAUCCAGCAGAGGGACUCAUGACUGUAAGGCCCUGUGCCAGGCAGGGGGGAAACAAAGACGAACCCAAAGACCGUGUCCUCUGGGAGCCUACAGCCCAGUAACAGAGGAGAUAAGAUACGUGGUGAUGCCGAAAGCUCAGCUGGAUGAUCUGAUACAAAGUACACACCGCAGCUCAGGGCCUGAGGAUAAUUGGGAGAAUCCCCGCUGUCACACACCAGGAAUCAGGGGGCACAUCCUGCCCUGUAGGGCCUGAAGGCUCUGAGGGCAACACUUCACCUUUGGAAACAUAGACUCUGCAAGGAUUUGUCUCCAGGCAGCGCUACAGCCUCUUCUGGCACCAGGGAGACUGCUGCCUCUGUCCCGGUUCCAGGCACUACCAGAGGGGAAGGGAGCAGGGCCGGGCAUGCUUCCCUGAGAUAGGUGGGCCUUCCCCCAGCCCCUCUGUGAGAGGCACACGGCCAACGCCUGGGGCUGGUGCUGACUCGGUGAAAGGUGGGCAGCCUGAAGGACAGGUUUCUUUUUUGUGAAACCAACUCGGUGAUCCAUCCCCACUGCCUACACUGCACUCACACGUCGUGAAUGUGACAGCCUGCGUUUGGGCUGGAGCUGCAGCUUUAUUAGGCAUUGCAGCAGCUGCACAGGCUUUUCUUCUCC